rnacentral:rRNA from 1 species
UAAUACGUAGGAGGCAAGCGUUAUCCGGAUUUACUGGGCGUAAAGAGGGCGUAGGCGGUCCUUCAAGUUGGAUAUAAAAUCUCCCGGCUUAACCGGGAGGGAUUAUUCGAUACUGUUGGACUAGAGCGCAGUAGAGGGAGGCGGAAUUCCCGGUGUAGCGGUGAAAUGCGUAGAUACCGGGAGGAACACCAGUGGCGAAGGCGGCCUCCUGGGUUGUUGCUGACGCUGAGGCCCGAAAGCGUGGGGAGCGAACAGGAUUAGAUACCCUGGUAGUCCACGCUGUAAACGAUGGACACUAGGUAUGGGGAGUAUCGACCCUUCUCGUGCCGAAGCUAACGCUUUAAGUGUCCCGCCUGGGGACUACGACCGCAAGGUUA